CACACAUUGUCACAAGAAGAGUCACCAUGAUCUCACUCAGUGUUCUGGUCUGUUUACUGAUUGUCUGGACAAAGGAUUCCAGAGGUGACAUUACAGUAGAUCAGUCGCCCCCUGCCAUAUCAGUUGUGCCAGGUCAAACUGUCACUAUAAAGUGUAAAGCCUCCCAGGUUAUUGAUAGUGAUAUGGAGCUGUACCAGCUUAAACCUGGACAUGCACCUAAGAUGUUAAUAUAUAAUGGAAAUACACUUGUCACUGGAACCCCAAGUCGGUUCAGUGGUACCUGGAGUGGAGCUGACCACACUUUCACCAUCAGCAAUGUCCAGAGUGAAGACGAUGCAGAAUACCACUGUGGGCAGAGUGAUGCAUUCCCAUUCACACAGUGAUACAGAGCUGUACAAAAACCUCACUGGCACAGACAGCAGCAGCAGAGGUAGAAUGACUCAAACCUAGUCUUCAUGCUGUAUGGU